AAAGUAAGGGAAAGGGAUCACAUGCAGGAUCGACAGGUCAUUUUGUUCUUCCUCAGUCAGGAUUAGGUUAGUUCUCCCAAGUCAUUUUACUGGGGAUUUAUCCUUGAGGUGACAUUGGGGCCAAACACUUCCCUCCAGUCAAUGUCAUUGAUGUUGAUCAGCUUGUUGGAUGGAUGUAGAGACAAAGAGGAACGUGUGGGCUGAAGGUUGAUGCCAUGUAUUGGGAUUCCAUUACCAGACCAGUUAGAUACAGUAUGUUGUAGCUCAACUCAUUGACUGUGUCUGCUUUAUUCAGCGUGGCACUCCAUUCAUGUUAGCUAACAGCUCUGUUUACACAUCCAUCAGACAGCCAUGGGAUCAAUCACUGGGCUGGGAGCUAAUUGUUUCCUUCAGUGUAUUACAAUUGACCUGCUUGGUCACAUUGGUCCUGCAGUAUUGGCAUUGCUGAUGGUGGGUCAUGCUCUUCAGUCAUCAAGCAUUUAUGCUCCAAUAGGAUGUGUGUUGAGAGAAUUCACAGCAUUACAUGUGUGCAUCGAAUAUAGUGUGUGGUGUGCUGGCUGGCCUGCCGCGCGAGAGAGAGAGAGAGUGCCCCCUAGACACAACUACGACAAAACAACCAACAGAAACGGGUCACAACUCCUGCUUUUCUGUUGCACGCUGGAACUAUACAUAGUCAAUGGUAUACUUCGAGGGGACUCCAAUGGUAGGUACACCUAUAGCUCAUCUCUUGGCAGUUGUACUGUAGAUUACUUUAUCACUGAACUUAACCCACAGUCUGUAAGUGUACAUUUAGCAGUAGGAAGCCUGAACAGUAUAUUUGACCUAUCAGCUAACAUAUUAAGCAGAAAACCUAAGAAAAUGAACAGCGAUGAGAAGUGGUUUAGCUUACGCCUUAAACAAUACAGAAAUACACUAAGAAAAACAAGGAACAGCAUGCAAGAAAACAGCUCAAUGUGAUUGAUGAAUCCGUAGAAUCAAAUCACUUCUAUCCAGAAAUGGAGAUGUGUGGAUAAACCACUUCUCCAUUCUUUUGGCUGUAUAACAAAGAACCAAGAACAAAAACAUAUACAUGAUAAUGUACUUCACUUAGAAUCAACUAUCACCAGAAGCCAUUAGAUUCACUAAUUACAUUGUAAGAGCUACAGGACAAAGUACAAACCAUCCAACCCAAAAAGGCCUGUGGUGUUGAUGGUAUACUAAACAAAAUGAUACAGAUAGGCUAUUCUUAAAUCUUCAACAUUAUCCUCAGCUCUGACAUCUUCCCCAAUAUUUGGAACCAAGGUCUGGUCACCUCAAUCCACAAAGGUUUAGGCAAAUUGAACCUCAAUACAGCAGAAUCUGCGUCAACAGUAAUCUCUGGAAAGUCCUCUGCAGUAUCAUCAACAGCAGAGUCCAACAUUUAUUUCCUCAGUGAAAACAAUGUCCUGAGCAAAUGUCAAGUUGACUCCUUCCUAAAAUACUGUACAACAGACCCAUACACCAUGCACAACCUUAUUGACAAACAAACAAAACAAAACAAAAGCGAAGUCUUCUCAUGCUUUGUUGAUUUAAAAAAGGGCUUUACUCAAGUUAACAUUUUAGUCAUUUAGCAGACACUCUUAUCCAGAGUGACUUACAGUAAGUAGACUGCAAACAUUUUCAUACUUUUUUUCUUCUUCUUCGUCAUACUGGACCCCCUUGGGAAUUGAACCUACAACCCUGGUGUUGCAAGUGCCAUGCGCUACCAACUGAGACACAUGGGACCACUUUGGCAUUAGGGUCUGCUAAACAAAUGGUUGGAAAUUGGCAAUAAACAUACACUUUCCUCAGGGCCGUGGGGUGAGACAGGGAUGCAGCUUGAGCCCCACCAUCUUCAACAUACUGUAUAUCAAUUAAUUGGCGAGGGCACUAGAACAGUCUGCAGCACCCGGCUUCACCCUGCUGGACUUUGAACUCAAACGUCUACUGUUUGCAGAUGAUCUGGUUCUUCUGUCCCCAACCAAAGAGGACCUACAGCAGCACCUAGAUCUUCUGCACAGAUUCUGUCAGACCUGGAACCUGUCGGUGACUCUCAGUAAGCCAAAAAUAACGGUGUUCCAAAAAAGGUCCAGUUGCCAGGACAACGAAUACAAGAGAGAUCAUAUUUAGACACCGUUGCCCAAGAGCAUACCAAUAAUUAUACCUACCUCUGCCUAAACAGAGGAACAUAAAACUCAACAUCCCAAUUAGGAUCUGGCUCAGUCAGUUAUAGAACCCAUUGCCCUCUGUGAUUGUGAGGUCUGGGCUCCACUCACCAACUAAGAAUUCACUAAAUGGGACAAACACCCAAUUGAGACUCUGCAUGCAGAAUUCUGCAAAGACGCAAAACCCCAAAUGAUGCAAGCAGAGCAAAAUUAGGACUAUACCCGCUAGUUAUCAAAAUCCAGAAAAGAGCUGUUCAAUUUUACAACCACCUAAAAUGAAAAGAUGCCCACACAUUCCACCACAAAGCCCUCACCUACAGAGAUGAACCUAGAAAAGAGUCCCCUUCAGCCAGCUGGUUCUGGGGCUCUGUUUACAAACACAAACAGACCCAGGACAGCAACACAAUUAGAUCCAAACAAAUUAUGAGAAUGCAAAAAGAGAAUUAUUUGACACACUGUAAAGAAUCAACCAGAAAACAAAGCAAUUUGGAAUGCUAUCUGGAAUCAAUAGAUUAGAUACGUGCCCACUGUCCACAGUGGAAACUGAGCUGCACUUCCUAACCUCCUGCCAAAUGUAUGACCAUAUUAGAGACACAUAUUUCCCACAGAUCACAUAGACCCGGAAAGAAUUUGUAAACAAAUCAAACUGAUAAAUUCCCAUAUCUGUUAGUCAAAAUACCGUAAUGUGCCAUCACAGUAGCAAAAGUUGUGGCCCAUUGCCAUGAGAAAAAAGAGCGAGAGAGAUGCUAGGAGUAUAGUAAUAUCCAUGAGAAAAGAGAGAGAGAUGCUAGGAGUAUAGUAAUGUCCAUGAGAAAAGAGAGAGAGAUGCUAGGAGUAUAGUAACGUCCAUGAGAAAAGAGAGAGAGGGUGAGAUGCUAGGAGUAUAGUAACGUCCAUGAGAAAAGAGAGAGAGAGAUGCUAGGAGUAUAGUAAUGUCCAUGAGAAAAGAGAGAGAGAGAGAGAGAGAUGCUAGGAGUAUAGUAAUGUCCAUGAGAAAAGAGAGAGAGGGUGAGAUGCUAGGAGUAUAGUAAUGUCCAUGAGAAAAGAGAGAGAGGGUGAGAUGCUAGAAGUAUAGUAACGUCCAUGAGAAAAGAGAGAGAGAGAGAGAUGCUAGGAGUAUAGUAACAUCCAUGAGAAAAAAGAGAGAGAGAGAGAGAUGCUAGGAGUAUAGUAAUGUCCAUGAGAAAAGAGAGAGAGAGAGAGAUGCUAGGAGUAUAGUAACGUCCAUGAGAAAAGAGAGAGAGAGAUGCUAGGAGUAUAGUAACGUCCAUGAGAAAAGAGAGAGAGAGAUGCUAGGAGUAUAGUAACGUCCAUGAGAAAAAAGAGAGAGAGAUGCUAGGAGUAUAGUAACGUCCAUGAGAAAAGAGAGAGAGAGAGAUGCUAAGAGUAUAGUAACGUCCAUGAGAAAAAGAGAGAGAGAGAGAUGCUAGGAGUAUAGUAAUGUCCAUGAGAAAAAGAGAGAGAGAUGCUAGGAGUAUAGUAACAUCCAUGAGAAAAGAGAGAGAGAGAGAAAUGCUAGGAGUAUAGUAACGUCCAUGAGAAAAGAGAGAGAGAGAGAUGCUAGGAGUAUAGUAAUAUCCAUGAGAAAAGAGAGAGAGAGAGAGAUGCUAGGAGUAUAGUAACGUCCAUGAGAAAAGAGAGAGAGAGAGAGAUGCUAGGAGUAUAGUAAUGUCCAUGAGAAAAGAGAGAGAGAGAGAGAUGCUAGGAGUAUAGUAACAUCCAUGAGAAAAGAGAGAAAGAGAUGCUAGGAGUAUAGUAAUGUCCAUGAGAAAAGAGAGAGAGAGAUGCUAGGAGUUUAGUAACGUCCAUGAGAAAAA
ensembl:lncRNA